GCGACCCCAGGUCAGGCGGGGCUACCCGCUGAGUUUAAGCAUAUCAAUAAGCGGAGGAAAAG
rnacentral:rRNA from 4 species